UUUCCGUAGGUGAACCUGCGGAAGGAUCAUUAUUAUAUAACCUAAGGCCGCUUCCUAUCACUGACCCCACAUGUCGUUCACUCCCGAGUUCCCUCACACACAUCCAUCUCACCCCUAUGUUCACCACCGCGUGGCCCCCCCUGUGCCUUGUUCGUCGGAUACCUUACUGUUUCACACAAACUUUGUUUGCAAUGUCACAUGUAUUUUUUGUUUUUCCGAUCACGCAAUCAAUACAACUUUCAACAACAGAUCUCUUGGCGCUCGCAUCAAUGAACAUCC
rnacentral:misc_RNA from 1 species